AGGCAAAGAAACAUUGGUGAGUGAGGAAUUUUGUUAAAUUCGAGGAUCUAUUCUGCAAUUUCAAAAAGAAACAUUGCAUUAAGUUCAUAGACCAGUUCUGUCCCCCAUAAGAGCAGGCAUGCUGUUGGUGGCUUUGUUGGCAAAGGUUGAGCUGUUGGGGUUUUGAUUAAUGUUCCGGAUGGCGUUGUUUUGUCAAUUACAUUACACAAAUUUCAUGUAGUGGAAGCUAUUUUAAAUAUUCUUAAUAAUAAAAAUUUGACUCGACAGUUAAAAUGAAUAAA